rnacentral:lncRNA from 1 species
AUGAUAUUGUGCCUGCACGUGAUCCAGUAUAGAGCUGCAUCUUCAAGUUGUACAAAGAUCAUCACAACUUUCUCCAUCCAUUUAUUGGGAGAGGAGGAGGGGCUUCCAAAUCAAGAAAAUGCAAACAAAUGUCUAAAGCCACUGUUGGCAAAAGUGUUUAGAAGUGGACAAAGUCACGUGAGUGCACAGGUGCGUGCAAAGGCUCAAAAAUGUGUGAUCUCUACCAGUCAGACCUGAGACACGUUCAACAGUCAAUCACAGGAAGUAAUUAAUAAGUCAUAACAUCACUGAUAAAGUAGAUUGGCAGCGAGGUAAAUCUGUGCUCAAAAGCACUGAGGUUAAUGACACGUUGUUAAAAAAAGAAAAAAACCAGAUGCGAGAUUCAAUCACCAUCUUCUUACUGAUAACACUGAUGCUGGAGAAGGGGGCUUGUAUCUAUGAACAGAAAACUUCCUGGUAUUGGAGCUGAAAUUAACCCCUUUCCCAACAGCAGUGGCAGGGCUAUCCUCUGCAUGCAGAGGAGGAAGAUUUUAUGUGUUCUAUCUGGGACAGCUCACUCUCCAAAGGGAAGGAAAAUGAAAAGUCUAUGCUACUGAUGCUCAUUUUUAUCCUUCCAAACUCAUGGGUGUGAUAAAGGAGGUAGUGGAGAAAGUGCUACCUAAUGAAUGUGCUUCAUAUGGAAGGAAAUAUCAGGAGUGAUUCCCAAUUAAUCCUGGGGAGCAGCCACCCCUUUGGGGGAAAUUAUCAGUUGUCUGUCACUAUCAUCCCCUGCUCACCCAUCAUGAGCUUCCCAAUACCAAUGCCUUGCCCUGUGAAUAGCAUCGUGGAACCACUGGUGGGACUUUUUGAUUUUGCUUUCAGAGGCUCAUAAAUGUAUCCGAACAUUAAGUAAAGCCAAAGUCACUUUAUACCCAGUUAUAAAAGUUGACUACCUAAUCUUUCUUCCAUUACAAAUCCUGAGCAGCCUCAUUGUCCAACAUCACCUGUUACACAGUCACAAUGACAGCAAACGACAACAUUAACAUAGACCAACAAAAAUGUUCAACAUAGAAAUAUGAAUAUAAAUUCCCUCUCAUUAACAGUUCUCAAAACCAAUGGAGGUCCAUAAACUGAGCCCUGCUUACAAAGUGAAUCUAAAGCCAUAACAGUGAAAAAAGAAGCCCAGAAUCAAUUUUCCUUGCCUUUCAGUGUUAAAGUACAAAGACAUUAGUGCUCACAAUUUACCCUUUCCAAUUCC